rnacentral:rRNA from 1 species
UACGGAGGGCGCAAGCGUUGUUCGGAAUCAUUGGGCGUAAAGCGCGUGCAGGCGGCUUGGCAAGUCGAGUGUGAAAGCCCGGGGCUCAACCCCGGAAGGUCGCUCGAAACUGCCUCGCUCGAGUCCCGGAGAGGAAGGCGGAAUUCCCGGUGUAGAGGUGAAAUUCGUAGAUAUCGGGAGGAACACCAGCGGCGAAGGCGGCCUUCUGGACGGUGACUGACGCUGAGACGCGAAAGCGUGGGGAGCAAACACG